rnacentral:rRNA from 1 species
CCUUCGGGUGGGGAUUAGUGGCGAACGGGUGAGUAACACGUGGGCAAUCUGCCCUGCACUCUGGGACAAGCCCUGGAAACGGGGUCUAAUACCGGAUACUGACCUGCCGAGGCAUCUCGGCGGGUCGAAAGCUCCGGCGGUGCAGGAUGAGCCCGCGGCCUAUCAGCUUGUUGGUGAGGUAAUGGCUCACCAAGGCGACGACGGGUAGCCGGCCUGAGAGGGCGACCGGCCACACUGGGACUGAGACACGGCCCAGACUCCUACGGGAGGCAGCAGUGGGGAAUAUUGCACAAUGGGCGCAAGCCUGAUGCAGCGACGCCGCGUGAGGGAUGACGGCCUUCGGGUUGUAAACCUCUUUCAGCAGGGAAGAAGCGAGAGUGACGGUACCUGCAGAAGAAGCGCCGGCUAACUACGUGCCAGCAGCCGCGGUAAUACGUAGGGCGCAAGCGUUGUCCGGAAUUAUUGGGCGUAAAGAGCUCGUAGGCGGCUUGUCGCGUCGGUUGUGAAAGCCCGGGGCUUAACCCCGGGUCUGCAGUCGAUACGGGCAG